UACGUAGGGGGCAAGCGUUGUCCGGAAUCAUUGGGCGUAAAGCGCGUGUGGGCGGCUCGGUAAGUCCGCUCUGAAAGUCCGGGGCUCAACCCCGGGAGGCGGGUGGAUACUGUCGAGCUAGAGUCCGGAAGAGGCGAGUGGAAUUCCUGGUGUAGCGGUGAAAUGCGCAGAUAUCAGGAGGAACACCGGUGGCGAAGGCGGUUCUCUGGGCAUGUCCUGACGCUGAGGAGCGAAAGCUAGGGGAGCAAACGGG
rnacentral:rRNA from 1 species